UGUUGCACAGUCUAGACCAAACAAACAAAUAACAGACAAAUUGUGAGUGAACUAAAAACUUUGUAUCUAGGCUGUGAGUGUGCCUUAUAAUGCUGCCUAUAAAACAGAUGUUAAGGCCCGGAAGGCUUUAUGCAAAUCAACUAAUGGCAAAGCAGAGCAACAGUUUGAAGAGAAACUUGCUGGGGGAUGACUUGUUAUUUUUUAACCCACCGAAGCCUCAAGACUCAGCUAAGUUUACUGGUGUCCAGAGAAAAAUCUGAGAAGCAGGAGACCCUAACAAAGGUACAUUUGUUUUAACUGAAUACACUUGCUGUCUAUAAACCGUUUCAAUAUUAAAGAUUUGUGAUUUUUCUUUCCUGCAUGUUUCACAGUCUAUAUAUGCUACCAUUUAACAGUUUGGAGUUGGUGAGAUUUUUUGAUGUUUUUGAAAGAAGACUUUUAUGCUCAUCAAGGUUGCAUUCAUUUGAUUAAGAAUACAGAAAAAAAUGGUAAAAUUGUGAAAUAUUAUUACUUUUUAAAAUAGCUGUUUUCUAUAUGAUCAUAUUUUAAAAUGUAAUUUAUUCCUGUGAUGCAAAGCUGAAUUUUCAGCAUCAUUACUCCAGUCUUCAGUGUCACAUGAUCCUUCAGAAAUCAUUCUAAUAUGCUGAUUUGAUUUCUUCUUAUUAUUAUAAUUGUUGAAAACAGUUUGAAACCAUAAUACAUUGUUGCAGGACUUUUUGAUGAAUAGAAAGCAUUUAUUUAGCAUUUAUUUAAAACAGAACAUUAUAAAUGUCUUUACUGUCACUUUUGACCAGUUGAAUGCAUCCUUGCUGAAGUAUUAAUUUCUAUUUUAAAAAUUCUUAACCCUGAACUUUUGAACAGUAGUGCAUGCUGAAUUUUUUUCCACGGUUAGAGAGGCAGUGACCGAGAGAAUCUUUGACACCAGCACAGCUUGACAGAACUUAAAGAAGACAACAUUCUCUUAUGACUGAUCAGAGACAGUAAAGCCCAGCCGGACCGCUGUGAUCUGCUCUGCUUCUCUCCACAUGAUGGAUUCCUGCUUGUCCAGAUUGUACAGCUUCUUAAUUCUUGGCCUCAGUGGUGGAACGAAUUCCAGCUCACACAUCAGCCACUUUCAAAAGAAACCUCAAGACUCCUUAAACUAGACCUCACACAACGCAAACCUGCACUGCAACAAUCUGUAUUUGUCGUAUUAUGUACAGUAGGCCCUUGUGUUGGUAGGAAAGCACAUAUAGAGACUGUUCCUGUUAUAUUUACUUAUAUAGAAGUAUGGAAACUAAUACAAGUUAACUUAUCGUAAGACAGCAUAAAAAUGAUUUUUGCUUCAACUGUGUUGUAUAACCAUUCACAGGUGUCAAUGAUUGCAUGUGAAUGAUGGUAAGUGAUCUUCAGUGAUAAUAACGGUGAGUGAUGGUUCAUUGAUUUGGAUAGGAGUGCAUUAUGUGAUAAUUUUUGAGAAGUGAUGGUUUAAAAAUUGGUUAAUGAUGAUGAGCAAUAGUUGAGAAUGUUUAUUGCUGGUUGUAGAUGGUUCAGUGAUGGUGAAGGAUGGUGAAUAAUGGUGUGUGAUGGUGAACAAUGAUGAUCUGAUUACUAGUUAUUGGACAACAUAGUCAUUAAAUAAACUGCAGUGAAUGCAUUAUGCAGAUUGGUGAAAAACUGUGAAUAGCAUUUGUUCACUAUUGGUGAAUGAUGGUAAAUAAUAGUAAGUGAUGGUUUACUAGUUAAUUGAUUAAAAAUCACAAUUAGAGACUCAUAAAACAAAAGACAAAAAUGCAUUGAAUGCAUAAUGCUAUUUGGUGAAAAAAUGUGAAAUGGUAACUGUUUGUGAAUGAUGGUUCAGUGAUGGUGAAUUAUGGCAAAUAAUGGUUUAUUUAUAUAAAUGAUGUUCAGUGUUGGACAGCUGUAUUAGGUAUGAUAAAUGAUGCAGGAUUGUUCACUAGUAAAUGGAUUAUAAACCAUGGUUAUAAACUCACAAAACAAGGAAAAGUUAAGAAAAUGCAUUGAAAGCAUUAUGCCAAUUCAUAAAAAAAUUGUGAGGUGUUCACUUUUGGUGACUGAUGGUAAAUAAUGGUGAGUGAUGUUUUAUUCAUAUAAAUGAUGUUUAGUGUUGGAAAUCAGUGUUAGCGUUUAUAAAUAAUGGGAGAUUAUGCAUAAUGCCAACUGGUAAAAAAUUGUGAAUAGUGUUCAGUGUUGGUGAAUGAUGGUAAAUAAUAAGUAAUGGUUUAUUAGCAUGUUCAUUAGCAAUAUUAGUCGUUGUAAAUAAUGGAAGGAUUGUUCACUAGUUAAUGGAUUAUAAACCAUGACAAAAAAGACAAGAAAUGCACUGAAUGCAUAAUGCUAGUUGGAGACAAAGUGUGAAGUAUUCACUUUACUUUAUUCACAUAAAUAAUGGUGAGUGAUGGUUUAGUAAUAUGAAAGGUGUUCAGUGUUACAGAGCAAUGUUAGUGAUGAUGAAUAAUUGUAGGUUUGAACACUAGUUAUUUGGAUUCUACACCACAAUAAUCAUGCCCAUUUCUGAAAAGUGUUCACUUUUGGUGAAUGAUGGUAAACCACAAAAAGAAACUCACAAAACAGUUUUCAAAAGAAUCAUACUUAGAUUGGUAAAAAAGAUUAGUGUUGAUUAGUGAGAAAGAUGGUAAAUAAUAGUGAGUCAUGGCAUGUUUAAGUAAUUAAUGUUCAGUUUUGGAGAGCAGUGUUAGUGAUGCUGAAUAAUGAAUUAUAAACCACAAUAAGAAACUCACAAAACAGUUUUUACAGAAAUUGUACUUAGAUUGGUGAAAAAGUGAUUAGUGUUUAUUGUUGGUGAAUGAUGGUAAAUAAUGUUGAUCACUAGUUAAUAGAUUAUAAACCCAGAUUAGAUUAAAAACACAAAUAAAAAAAAAGUAAAUGCAUGGAAUGCAUUAUGUAAAUUGGUGAAAAUUCACUGUUGGUGAAUGAUGAUACAUAGCAGUGAGUGAUGGUUUAUUUAUGCAGAUGAUGAUCAGUGUUGGCAAGCAAUAAUAGUGAUGAGUAAUGGUAGGAUAGUUUGCAAUCCAACAUUAGAAACUCUUAAAAUAAAGGCUGACAAUAAAAUGCAUUAAAUGCAUAAUACAAAUUGGUGAUGUUUUUAAAACAGUGUACACAUUUGGUGCAAUGAUGGUAAACAAUAGUGAUUCAGGGUUUAUUUAUGUAAGUGAUGUUCAGUGUUGGAAAGCAAUAUAAGUGAUAUAAUGGGAGGAUUGAUCACUAGCUAAUGUAUUAUAAACCACAAAGAAACUCAGAAAACAGUUUUCAAAGAAAUAUUUAGACUGGUGAAAAAGUGAUGAGUGUAUAGUGUUGGUGAAUGAUGGUAAAUAACAGUGAGUGAUGUUUUGUUUAUAAAAAUGAUGUUCAGUGUUGACUAGCGAUAUUAGUGAUGAAUAAUGGUUUUGGUUAAUCGUUAACAGAUUAUGAACCAGGAAUAAAAACUCAUAAAUCAAAGAAAGAUAAGAACUGGUGAAAAAUUGGUAAAUGGUAAAUUAUGGUAAGUAAUGGUGAGUGAUGGUUUAUUUAUGCAAGUACUUUUCAGUGUUGGCGAGCAGUAUUAAUGAUGACUAAUUGUAGGAUUGUUCACUAGAUUAUAUACUGUAAACCACAAUUAGAAACUCACAAAAUAAACAAAGAAAAGAAAAUGCAUUGAAUGCAUAAUAGGAAUUGAUGAAAAAAGUGUUCACUUUUGGUGCAGUAAUGGUAAAUAAUGAUGGUUCAGGGUUUAUUUAUAUAAGUGAUGCUCAGUGCUGGAGAGGAAUAUUAGUGAUAAAUAAUGGUAGGAUUAAUCACUAGUUAAUAGAUUAUAAACCACAAAGAAAUUUGCAAAACAGCUUUAAAAGAAAUUGUAUUUUGAUUGGUGAAAAAGUGAUCAGUGUUUAGUGCUGGUGAAUGAUGUUUUGUUUAUAUAAAUGAUGUUCAGUGUUGACAAGCAAUGAAUGAUGGUUAAUGAAUGAUAAUGGACAAGCAAUGACUAAUGGUUGAAUUAAUAUACAUUAGGAUUAAAAACUCAAGUCAAAGAAAUACAAGAAAAUGCAUUGAAUGCAUAAUGUAAAUUGAUGAAAAAUCGUGACGUUCACUGUUAGUGAAUGAUGAUAAAUAAUGGUGAGUGAUGGUGUAUUUAUGCAACUAAUGUUCAGACUUGGCAAGCAGAAUUAGUGAUGAAUAAUGGUGGGAUUGUUCACUAGUUAAUAGCUUGCAAACCACUAUUACAAACUCACAAACUAAACAAAGACAAGAAAAUGCAUAAUAGGAAUUGGUGAAAAAAGUGUUCACUUUUGGUGCCGUAAUGGUAAACGAUGGUUCAGGGUUUAUUUAUAUAAUUGAUGCUCAGUGCUGGAGAGCAAUAUUAGUGAUUAAUAAUGGUAGGAUUGUUCACUGGAUUAUAUACUGUAAACCACAAUUAGAAACUCACAAAAUAAACAAAGACAAGAAAAUGCAUUGAAUGCAUAAUAGGAAUUGGUGAAAAAAAAUGUUCAAUUUUGGUGCAGUGAUGGUAAAUAAUGAUGGUUCGGAGUUUAUUUAAAUAAGUGAUGCUCAGUGCUGGAGAGCAGUAUUAGUGAUGAAUAAUGGUAGGAUUGAUCACUAGUUAAUAGAUUAUAAACCACCAUUAGAAACUCACAAAAUAAAU